UUCCUCCUCCCCCUCCUCCCCCUCCUCCUCCUCUUCUUCUUCUCCUUCUUUUCUUCUUCUUCUUUUUCUUUUCUUCUCAUUCUUCUUCUCCUUUUUCUUCUUCUUUUCCUUUUUCUUUUCUUUCUCCUUUUCUUCUUUUUCUUCUUUUCUUCUCAUUCUUUUCUUCUUUUUCUUCUUCUUUUCUUCUUUCUUUUCUUCUUUUUCUUCUUUUCCUCUUUUCGUCUUUCUUUUCUUCUCCUUUUUCUUCUCCUUUUUCUUCUUUUCUUCCUUUUUCUUCUUUUCUUCUCCUUUUUCUUCUUUUCUUCUUUUCAUCUUCUCUUUCUUCUCUUCUCCUUUUUCUUCUUCUCUUCUUCUUUUUCUUUUCUUCUUCCUUUUUCUUCUUUUCUUCUUCUUUUUCUCCUUUUCUUCUUCUUUUCUUCUUCUCAUUCUUUUCUUCUUUUUCUUCUUUUUUUCUCCCCUUUUUCUUCUUUUCUUCUUUUUGUCUUCUCUUUCUUUUCUUCUCCUUUUUCUUCUCUUCUUCUUUUUCUUCUUUUCUUCUUCUUCCUUUUUCUUCUUUUCUUCUUCUUUUUCUCCUUUUCUUCUUCUUUUCUUCUUCUCAUUCUUUUCUUCUUUUUCUUCUUUUCUUCUCCUUUUUCUUCUUCUCUUCUUCUUUUUCUUCUUUUUCUUUUCUUCUUCUUUCCUUCUUCUCUUCUUUUUCUCUUUUUCUCCCUUUCUUCUCAUUCUUUUCUUUUCUUCUUUUCUUCUUCUUCUUUUCUUCUUCUUUUCAUCUUCUCAUUCUUUUCUUCUCCUUCUUUUCUUCUCUUUUCUUCUCCUUUUCAUCUUCUCAUCUUUUCUUCUUCUUUCUUCUUCUUUUCUUCUCCUUCUCCUUCUUCUUCUUCUUUCUUCUUCUUUCCUUUUCUUUUUCUUCUUCUUCUUCUCUCUUCUUUCUUCUUCUUCUUCUUCUUCUUCUUCUUCUUCUUCUUCUUCUUUCUUCUUUCUUCUUUCUUCUUCGCCAAGUCAUGAAAUUUGGCAACUGAUGAAGAUGAAUGAAG
rnacentral:lncRNA from 1 species